rnacentral:rRNA from 1 species
UACGAAGGGUGCUAGCGUUGCUCGGAAUUACUGGGCGUAAAGGGCGCGUAGGCGGACCUGUCAGUCAGGCGUGAAAGCCCAGGGCUCAACCCCGGAACUGCCUUUGGAACUGUUUGGCUGGAGACUCGGAGGGGAUGGCUGAAUUCCUAGUGUAGAGGUGAAAUUCGUAGAUACUAGGAGGAACACCGGUGGCGAAGGCGGCCAUCUGGACGAGUACUGACGCUGAUGUACGAAAGCGUGGGGAGCAAACAGG